rnacentral:rRNA from 1 species
UGGGGAAUAUUGCACAAUGGGGGAAACCCUGAUGUAGCGACGCCGCGUGAAGGAAGAAGUAUCUCGGUAUGUAAACUUCUAUCAGCAGGGAAGAUAAUGACGGUACCUGACUAAGAAGCCCCGGCUAACUACGUGCC